rnacentral:ncRNA from 2 species
AUUUGGUCAUAUGACUGACGGAAGUGGAGUUACCACAUGAAGUAUGACUAAGGCAUAAUAUAUUAUAUUAUAUGCCAAAGAGCCGACCGUCUGGGCAAAAAAG